rnacentral:rRNA from 1 species
GACGAACGCUGGCGGCGUGCCUAAUACAUGCAAGUCGAACGCAGUGGGGACGGGUGAGUAACACGUGGGUAACCUCCCAUCAGAGGGGAUAACACUUGGAAACAGGUGCUAAACCGAUAAUGAUGGAUGGACCCGCGGUGCAUUGGCUAGUAGGUGGGUUAAAGGCUCACCUAGGCGACGAUCGCUAGAUGUGCUGUGAGGAUGAUCAGCCACACUGGGAUUGUGCCACGGCCCAGGCUCCUACGGGAGGCAGCAGUGGGGAAUAUUGCACAAUGGGCGCAAGCCUGCUGCAGCCAUGCCGCGUGUAUGAAGAAGGCCUUAGGGUUGUAAAGUACUUUCAGCGGGGAGGCGUUACCCGCAGAAGAAGCACCGGCUAACUCCGUGCCAGCAGCCGCGGUAAUUC